CUUGGGCUGCCCAGGCCCGGCAAGGCCGGGCUUUCUCCUAGACACUGAAGUCUGUUCUCCGACCCAAGGGACACAAGAAAAGCUGGAGUAAGGUGGCAUGAUCUCGGCUCACUGCAGCCUCCGCCCCCGCCAGGUUCAAGUGAUUCUCCUGCCUCAGCCUCCCGAGUAGCUGGGAUUACAGGCGCAGGCCACCACGCCCAGGUCACCCAUACUUCAUUUGCCAGUCCUUGCUAUGGAUUAUUCAUUAAAACACACAACAGCAACAAUUACCACAAAAGCAACAAUAAAAAUACCUUUGAACUCACUCAAUCUUGAACUAUUGAACAUGUUAAGUCCGUGUCAUUGGCCUACUUAAUCAG